UGGGGAAUUUUGGACAAUGGGGGAAACCCUGAUCCAGCCAUCCCGCGUGUGCGAUGAAGGCCUUCGGGUUGUAACGCACUUUUGGCAGGAAAGAAACGUCAUGGGUUAAUACCCCGUGAAACUGACGGUACCUGCAGAAUAAGCACCGGCUAACUACGUGCCAGCAGCCGCGGUAAUACGUAGGGUGCAAGCGUUAAUCGGAAUUACUGGGCGUAAAGCGUGCGCAGGCGGUUCGGAAAGAAAGAUGUGAAAUCCCAGAGCUCAACUUUGGAACUGCAUUUUUAACUACCGGGCUAGAGUGUGUCAGAGGGAGGUGGAAUUCCGCGUGUAGCAGUGAAAUGCGUAGAUAUGCGGAGGAACACCGAUGGCGAAGGCAGCCUCCUGGGAUAACACUGACGCUCAUGCACGAAAGCGUGGGGAGCAAACAGG
rnacentral:rRNA from 1 species